rnacentral:snRNA from 1 species
AAAUGUCCAUAAGCCUAGGGAGAUACAAUGAUGGUUUUCCCCAAGAGUGAGGCUUGUCCCUUGCAUUCUGGGCAGGGUUACCCCUGAGAGUUUUCCCAAACGUGGGACACUUGACUACACAGUUGCAUAGGAAAUGGGGACUUGCUUUCUUGCUUUCCCUGG